rnacentral:lncRNA from 1 species
GAAAAGGGCGGCUAGGGUUUCUGGGGGCAAGAGAAGCACCGAAAAAAAAAGGAAGAAAGGGAAGGGAGCGACGGAAAAGAAAAUGGGAGAGGCUUCGGCAGUAAAAAAGAUCAGAGGACAAGAAAGGGGGUAAGCUGGAAAAAUCGAGAGGGUUUCGUCUGGGAGAAACAGAAAAGAAAACAGGGAGAAGAAAGCAAGAGGGGCGGCGGUCUGAGAGCAGAGGGGAGGAAAAACCCAGAAAAAGGAGAAAACUGACGGGCAAGCAAAAAGAAAAUCCGGGAGACGGAUUGAAAGGGGAACAGAGCAAGAAAAAACAGAGCAAAAAACAGAGGAAAGGAGGAUACUUCGGUGAGGAAAGAAAGCUGCAAUAAGAAAUCGAAGCCAAGCUGCAGUAAGGAACAGAGGAACCACCGCCGCUCAUGCCGCCACCACCUAGCCGAACCCACCAUCAUCCCCGGAAAAGUUUCACCAAGCAAACGCUGUAAGCCAUCCUCCCUCUUUGAGUUUCAAUUUUCCAUUUUAGCAAAAUAUUGGAAAGGGUCAAAGCAUGUCUGCCGUGCACUUGUUUAGGGUAAAUUUCGUGUUGAUGGCUCCCUAUUUUAGAUUAUAUGCUAUGUAUUUGAUUGGACUGAAAUUUUUGUUUCUGAUAAAUUUUUGGGGGAUGAUUAUGGUUUCAAUUAAGGAGGAAUUGGUUAAUUUUCUUUUGCCCACCUGUUGUUCGAUAAAAUGCCCAACCGAAUAUUACGUUUGAAAGAUGAUUUGUCUGCGUUUUGCUUGAAGAAAAAUGAGUAUGAAUUCAGGUAGGAAGCGGAGUUUCGAGUGGAUCUGACAUGCUUGUUCUUUGUACCAUUUGCUGUUGUUUUCUCUUCUUACGUUUCUAGUUGUAUGAAUUCGAAUUGAAUGGUAUUAGAAAGGGCUUUGUGUGAUUGUUGUUUUUGAUUGGGAAUGGCCAGCCUUGAGUUUUCUGAUUUUCCGUCUGCAAAGAAAGAUGGCAGCGGACGUUUAGCCCGCUUGGGGAAGAUGAUUACUGGUUUAAGUUCAUGAUUCCGGUCCUUCAAUUUCCCUUUCUUGGUGAUUUGACCCCCGAGUUUUUGGAACUUCAUAAUUUGACCCCAAAACAUUUGUAAUACUUUCGAUUAAGUCUUUUUUUUAUCGCAUUUUGAACCCCUCAAGUUUCCCUAUUUUUUACAGGACCUAAAAAUUAGAAAAGUUAAGUUCAUUUCUCCCUUUUAGAUUUUAAUCAUUUUUUAAUAUGCAUGAGUAGUCUUUUAACUAGAUUAAUUCUUGUUUUUAGGACAUAAUGUGGCUCAAUAAUUUUUUGUUGAUGUUAUCAUGUUGGGUACUUGUGAAAAGGUGUUUUGGGUUGAGAGGUUAUUUUACUUGGAUUUAAGGGAGUGGAUUUGAGUUAUUACUUUGGGUUUUUGGCUUGGGCUAGAGGGUUGAGGCCCAUCUGUUUGUUUGGCUAUUUAUGGGCCAAAAUAAUAUACUAGCCCGCUCUUUUUGCCUGGGGCUUUCAGUCGGAUUAGGAAGCCUUCGGCCCAAAGAAUAAAAAUGGCCCAAUGGCCUGAUCCAUUAAGAAACCAGAAAAUGAGUUUGUAAAUCAGUCCCUGUACUUUUAAUAAUUAUGCUACGGCCCUAAAACUUUAGGCGUCUUCCAAUUGGGUCCCUAAAUUAAUUGCAAAUAGGUCCUUAAACUUUAUUUUUUUAAUUUUUGACCUCAAAACUUUGUUAAUUUUUGCAAUCAAGUCUUUUCUUCUUUUGAUUUCUUAAAUGUGAGUUGUUUAUAUGAUUUAAUUGAUUCAAUUUCAUGAUUCAUUUUUGGGUUAAUUACAUUUACCUCCCAAGAGCUUUGACCAUAUUACCAAUCUAUCCCUGUAAUUUGUCCAAAUAACGGUUUCACCCUUUGAAUGAUCAAAUAUUUAACAAAAACUCCCUAAAUGCCGAAAAUGCCCUUAUUGAGGCCAUGUUGCAUUAAAAAAAGAACAUAUUUUUAUUUUAUUAACCUUGAAGCAAUCCAAAAAAAUAGAAAAAAGUUUUUACUUAUUAUUUUAUAAAAACCAUAUCUUUGCUUCCAUAAAUAGUUUCGAAUCAAUAAUUAUUUUAAAUCUUAAAAAUGAAUAUUAAAAAUUAGAUAAAUUGAAAGAAAAAUAAAAAAAAAUUAUUUUAAUUCCUGAAGUAUGGUUCAAAUUGAAGAAAACAUGCCUUGUGCUCUCCUGAAGUAUUGGUUAGGACUUAAGAUAACUAUUCAUACUUUUGACUAUUUUUGACUAAGUGUUAAAUAUCUUCAAAAUUCACUAAAAUUCCCUCAUUCUUUCUUCACCAUAGCCGGCCCUCUCAAGCUUAAGAAAGGAAGAAAACCUCUUCAACUUCUUGAUUUCUUCUUGCUUCAAUCCCACAACUCAACCAUUUACACUUGUUUUACUCCAUAAAAUCCUCCUAGUUGGUGUUAGUAAGUGGCCUAGUGAAGUUUGUUUGAAGAGCUAAGGUGUCCAACAUCUUCCUUUCUCUUGUUUACUUGGUAAGUGGUGAUUGACUACCCUCAUAUACCUUAUGAAGCUUAAGUUAUGCUUAUUAGUGAUUAAAGUGCUGAAAUUUCUGGUUUUUAUCUUGGUUUGAAGUGAUUCGGUGAAGUUUUUAUUUAUUGAUGAUUUUUCUGGUUUAAUUGGAUUAUGAUGGUGUGGUUGUUUAUGAUGAUUGGUAAUGGUCUAUAUAGACUCUAGUAGGUGCAAAUUAUGGGUAAUUGCAAUCAAUUUUGAGUUUUGAUUGAAUUGUGAAAAGUUAGGGUUCAUAAACCCCUAAUUCUGUCCGGUUUUAGAUCAUAGGGUUAGAGGCUGAAUUGGACGUUUCUCAAAACAUGAAAGUUGUAGGUAUUGAUGAGUUUGAAGUGCCUGCAAAAUUUCAGGUCAUUUGGAUUUGUGUAGAGUGAGUUAUGUCGAUUUUACUGUUGCUGGUCUGGGUUGCUCAGAAUGUGAAAACUGCGCUUGUAAUCGUUUGUUUUGACUGGAAUUGGUUUGGAUUUUGAAGUUGGUGUCUUCUGAUGAAAUGUAGCUGGAUGUCUUAGCUAACAUAUGCCUUUGGAAUUUCGGCAUUUGGACCUGUAUAGACUGAGUUGUGUUCAUUACAGCAUAGUGCGAUUUGGGAACCUGCAAUUACGGUUCUGGUUUGGUAAUCUGUUUUUUUGACCUAGCGGUGCUAGGAUUUGGACUGAGUGGCCUUCUACAUUGUUGUAGCCCUGUUCCAUAGCUUCGAAACGGUGGGCCUUACACCCCCAUCCGAUAAUCGUAGUGAAAUUGACGCCAUUACCGCACAAUAAGGGCAAAACAGUUUUUCUAUUCGGGGCCAAGACUAAUGCUAUUUCUAAUUUCUGGUUUGCUAUCAUGCUUAUUUAUGCAUAUGAAACCCUAUUGGGGUUGUGUUCAGCAUUGUUUUGUGACUCGUUAUCGAGUUUCAUUGUAUUUGCUUGCUUGUUCUAGGAGGAAACGGUGGUGCACGACGUUCGUUUAACGACGGUGUAUGAAACAUCAUUUUCUCACUUGGUGAGUAUACUACUCACUUAAUUGUUACUAUGUGGCUUUGCUAAAUGUAUAUGUGAUGCCUUGAAGGCUUACUUGGAUAUUGGAAUUGAUUAAGGUGAGGGUGUACUUGACCGCCCUCACCCCUUUUGAUAGUAUCACUGAUUAGCUACCGUUUUACUGCAUUACUGAACUUGAUAUAUUGAUUGGUGAAUUCCAUUUCAUGGAAACUGCUUUGGUGUCGUUUGGACGAAUGUCCAACGGCCUUACUGUAUUACUGAGCUCAACCCCGUUUGGUAGUCAAUUGGAUCGAGCCGGCGAGGGUUUGGUCGUGAAAAUUGUCAUGCCACGGGGACUGUACUGAGGAACCUUGUAGUAAUGAGACUCUUGGUUCCGGUAUACUCGAGUAUUACCAAAAGCUACUGAAUUGGAGUGCGGGCCCGGUUGGGGUAUGUUGGGUGGAAGGAAUGGAAUGGAAGUGAAGUGAGGUCUACGGUCGUGUAUUCAUAAACAUUGACGGAGGGUCAAUGAGGAUGGAUCAAGAUUGCAAGCGUGGAAAUGGGCUCUUGAGAGCCAACCGUAUCCUUUCACUGAUUUGAUUUACUUUCUAAUUGCAUACUUGAAUUGAACAGUUAUGCUUAUGUGAUCAUAGCUGCUAUUGUGAUAGUUGCUCACUGGGCAUUUAGCUCACCCCGUUUCUUUGUUUUCCUUACAGGAAUAUGACUAUUUUGGAAUGAAUUUUGUUAAAUGGUUGCCGAAUGAACUAGAUGGAUGCCUCUUUUGUAUUGUAUAUAAAAUGGGACCCUAAAUGUAUCAUUAGGGUCGUUUUCACUUUUGUUUUGGCAACCCACAUAUGUAGUGACUUUUGUAUCACUGUUAAAUGCCAUUGUGGCUUGUAAAUGGUUAAUGUUAUGUUGUAU